CGGAGGGUGCAAGCGUUAUCCGGAUUCACUGGGUUUAAAGGGUGCGUAGGUGGGCAAGUAAGUCAGUGGUGAAAUCUCCGGGCUUAACCCGGAAACUGCCAUUGAUACUAUUUGUCUUGAAUACUGUGGAGGUCAGCGGAAUAUGUCAUGUAGCGGUGAAAUGCUUAGAUAUGACAUAGAACACCAAUUGCGAAGGCAGCUGGCUACACAAAUAUUGACACUGAGGCACGAGAGCGUGGGGAUCAAACAGGAUUAGAUACCCUGGUAGUCCACGCCCUAAACUAUGGAUACUCGGACAUUUGCGAUAAACUGCAAGUGUCUGAGCGAAAGCAUUAAGUAUCCCACCUGGGAAGUACGAUCGCAAGAUUG
rnacentral:rRNA from 1 species